AAGUCGUAACAAGGUUUCCGUAGGUGAACCUGCGGAAGGAUCAUUAAUGAAUUUAUAAUGGAAUUGGAAUAAUUUUUUGAUUUUGGAGAGGUGGUAAAAAAGCUUUUCUUGAAUUAGGAAUUUUCCAAAUUUUAUUUUCAUAAAUCCUGUGAACUUUGAAAAACAUUUUUGUUUUUACUUGCUUGGUGGAGUCUGGUAAAAAAGGACCUGCCACCAGCAGUAAUAUUUAAACCAUUUUGAUUUGAGUUGUCUGAAAAAAAAAUAUAAAAAGCUUAAAAA
rnacentral:misc_RNA from 1 species